CAAUAGCGUAUAUUAAAGUUGUUGCGGUAAAAAAGCUCGUAGUUGGAUUUCUGUUGAGAGCGACCGGUCCAUACCAUGUAUGCGUAUCUGGCUUGCUCUCGGCAUCCUCUCGAUAGACGUUACUGCGCUUGAUUGCGUGGUGCGGAUCUCGGGACUUUUACUUUGAGGAAAUUAGAGUGUUCACGGCAGGCUUUCGCCAGAAUACAUUAGCAUGGAAUAAUACUAUAGGAUCUUGGUUCUAUUUUGUUGGUUUCUAGAAUUGAGAUAAUGAUUAAUAGGGACAAUUGGGGGCAUUCGUAUCAACACGUCCGAGGUGGAAUUCUUGGAUUGUGUUGCGACGAACUACUGCGAAAGCAUUUGCCAAGGAUGUUUUCAUUGA
rnacentral:rRNA from 1 species